AGCGAACGCUGGCGGCAGGCCUAACACAUGCCAGUCGAACGAACCUUUCGGGGUUAGUGGCGGACGGGUGAGUAACACGUGGGAACGUGCCUUUAGGUUCGGAAUAACUCAGGGAAACUUGUGCUAAUACCGAAUGUGCCCUUCGGGGGAAAGAUUUAUCGCCUUUAGAGCGGCCCGCGUCUGAUUAGCUAGUUGGUUGAGGUAAUGGCUCACCAAGGCGACGAUCAGUAGCUGGUCUGAGAGGAUGAUCAGCCACAUUGGGACUGAGACACGGCCCAAACUCCUACGGGAGGCAGCAGUGGGGAAUCUUGCGAAAUGGGCGAAAGCCUGACGCAGCCAUGCCGCGUGAAUGAUGAAGGUCUUAGGAUUGUAAAAUUCUUUCACCGGGGACGAUAAUGACGGUACCCGGAGAAGAAGCCCCGGCUAACUUCGUG
rnacentral:rRNA from 1 species